rnacentral:rRNA from 1 species
AGAAUCAACGCUGGCGGCGUGCCUAACACAUGCAAGUCGAACGAGAAAGUGGAGCAAUCCAUGAGUACAGUGGCGCACGGGUGAGUAACACGUGAAUCAUCUACCUCCGAGUGGGGAAUAACCUAGAGAAAUCUGGGCUAAUACCGCAUAACACUUACGAGUCAAAGCAGCAAUGCGCUUGGAGAGGAGUUCGCGGCAGAUUAGUUAGUUGGCGGGGUAAUGGCCCACCAAGACGAUGAUCUGUA